AUCCAGCUGACGAAUCCCAAAUAGGACGAAAUGCGCUUCCUAGAU
rfam:Schistosoma rodhaini strain Burundi genome assembly, scaffold: SROB_scaffold0000613